rnacentral:rRNA from 1 species
UACGUAGGGGGCAAGCGUUGUCCGGAUUUAUUGGGCGUAAAGAGCGUGUAGGCGGCCUUACAGGUCAGCUGUGAAAACUCGAGGCUCAACCUCGAGACGCCGAUGGAAACCAUGUGGCUAGAGUCCGGAAGAGGAGAGUGGAAUUCCUGGUGUAGCGGUGAAAUGCGCAGAUAUCAGGAAGAACACCCGUGGCUAAGGCGGCUCUCUAGUACGGUACUGACGCUGAGACGCGAAAGCGUGGGGAGCGAACAGG